CUGCUGUUGCUUAAGUCCCAGUCCAUAUUUGGAAUGUUCUGCCUUAUUGCUAAGGUUAGGUCCCAUUUCAAAGCAUCUCGCUGGGCCUGAACACCCAGUUUCAUUAUCUUUCCCAGUGAUGAUGAUUUCCCCUGUAUUAGUCAGGAUUCUUUAAAGGAAUACAACCAAUAGAAUGAAAACACACACACACACACACACACACACACACACACACACACACGUGCACGCCCAUAUGCAAUUUAUUAGAAUUGUUUUCAGGCUGCGGUCUGAGCAGUCCAACAAUAGCUGUCUCCCGAUGGAAAGGCCAAGGAUCUGGUAGCUGUUCGGUCCACAAGUUUGGAUGUCUCAGCAGUCCCCAUGUGGUGCUGGAGCCCCAGGGACGACCUAGGGAGCUGCCGGUUUUCCUGUCUUCAUUGGAAUCCUAAAGAAGUGGGAUCUAACAGCAGCAAAGGACUACCUCCACAGCAAGAUAGAUGCACUUUCCAGUGAGAGAGAGGGCAAGCAGGCAAAAAGCACAAGCUUCCUUCAUCCAUGUCCAGAAGGUGUGGCCCGGGUUUAGCAUGGAUCUUCCCAUCUCAAAUAAUCCAGCCCAGCUGCUUGGGGUUUUAGUGACUUCCAGACAUAGUCAAAUUGACAACUGGGAUUGGCCAUCACGCCACCCCAAUAUUUACCAAGCACAUUUUUUUUUGUCCACCCUGUUGUCAUCAGUUCUCUCAGAGAAUGCAACUCCGGGUUUUUCCUCGAUCCCCACAUCUGUUACUCAUGUGACAACAGUGGACAUUAAGUUAAGGUGAAGCUGUGCACACGGCUCUCCCUUACCAUGACAAAAGUCUCGGGAAAGCAUAAAGAGGAAGGAAUCGUUCUGGCUUGAGAAGCUUCCACCUUUGGCCACGUUGCUGUGUUGCUUCCGGGCUGCCCCAUCACCUUUGGUAAGUGAGCAUCUAAGCCACAACAGAAGGCUGUCUCCAACCAUAGGCUGCCUCUGGAACACUGGGUGCUGGGUUUAGAGUACAGAUCCCCAGACAUCAUAUCCCAGAGAGAGUCAGAAUCAAGGCUAGGGUCCGAGGUCUUCAUAAGUCUGUUUCCGGUGCUUCCGGGUCUUGCUCUUCUUCAGGAGCAGUGGCUGCUGGGUAAAGGGAAACUCCGGUGCAGAGGCACCUUCACGUGUAGUUCUUGCCCACACCUGUGCUACAUCACGCUAACUUCUACUUUCAUGUUUUAUGUGUCACCAACUCUCUCUUCCUAUGUAGACCAAGCAACCGCAACUCCUCCAUUAGCUCCAGCAGCAUCUCUUCCUCUAGGUCAGGUUUGUGCUUUCUCUUCCUGCAAAGCUUGCCGCACAUACCUCUUUCGUUUCCUUUCACUAGUUGUUAAAUAAAUUUAUCUAUGUGUGCACCUCCGUUUGGCAUCAGACUAUAAAGUCAUUAAAGGACCAAUGCACUUCUUACAUGGGGAGCCUUGAUGGAACACUGCAGUCUCUAGUUUAUAGUAGGCACUGGACUCCAUCUGUGUUUCCUCUCUCGCUUCGGAAAUCAGAUGUGGAAAAUAUUUAAUAUCCCCGGGGAAGUUCU
rnacentral:lncRNA from 1 species